rnacentral:lncRNA from 10 species
GUUUUCUACUUUCCUACCUUCCAGAAACUCCUCCUACCCAUGGAAUCUGCCAGCAGUUGGAUUCUUGACUAUCUUUAGGACUUUUCCUAAUCUCACCUUCUCCAUCUGUGAAAUGGAAAUAAUCAAAGGAAUUAGCCGUGCUUGGUUGUGGGUGCCUGUAAUCCCAGCUACUUGGGAGACUGAGGCAGGAGAAUAGCUUGAACCUGGGAGGCAGAGGUUGCAGUGAGCCAAGAUUGUGCCACUGCCCUCCAGCCUGGGCGACAGAGAGAGACUCUGUCUCAAAAAAAAAAAAAAAAAGGAUUGGUAAAUUUAUUUUUAGAGAGACAACAAGAUAAGGGGAAAAGACUUUGAGUCUCCAGGGGUUACAACUUAGGGGAAGGCAAAUAAAUGGCAGAUAAAGAUAAGUUAGGAAAGCUUGUUAAUUAGAUUCUUCUGGAGCCAUCUCUAGGCCCUUAAGGGUGUUAAGUUGUCUUCAGUGGUUAGUUAACCUUUGUCCUCCCUGAUAGAAAGGUGGGUGCGGGAUACGUUUUGUCUCUGUCUAUGUACAUCCUGCUUUUCAGUAAACACAAGGAGGGCAGAGAGUUCUCCUGCAUCUGCUACUUUCUUGCCUUCAGCUCAACAAUCCUUCUGUGAAAGAGGCAUAUUUUGUGGUGCUAUGUGCUGAUCUUCCACACAGCCAAAUGGAGGCAGAGGUCACAGAGGAACUAGAAGGAUGGAAAACUGCAGGAGAGUCUCGUUGCCAUCACUCAGUCAAUCAACCAGUUUUGGAUACCUGCCAUGUGCCAAGCCCUGACUGCAGUAAAAAGGAUACCAAAAUAAAUUACUUACUGCUCUCAAAAAGCAAACCGUUUGCUGGCAGACUUGAUCAUAUACCAAUGACUGGAGGAAGGGGAAAGUGAGCUUUAUGGUCAAA